GAGGAUGCGAGCGUUAUCCGGAUUUAUUGGGUUUAAAGGGUGCGUAGGCGGGAUGUUAAGUCAGCGGUAAAAUUGAGGGGCUCAACCCCUUCGAGCCGUUGAAACUGGCAUUCUUGAGUGAAUGAGAAGUAUGCGGAAUGCGUGGUGUAGCGGUGAAAUGCAUAGAUAUCACGCAGAACUCCGAUUGCGAAGGCAGCAUACCGGCAUUCAACUGACGCUGAAGCACGAAAGCGUGGGGAUCAAA
rnacentral:rRNA from 1 species